GAUGAAGAACGUAGCGAAAUGCGAUACGUAGUGUGAAUUGCAGAAUUCAGUGAAUCAUCGAAUCUUUGAACGCACAUUGCACCUCUCGGUAUUCCGGGAGGUAUGCCUGUUCGAGCGUCAUUUGUACCCUCAAGCUCUGCUUGGUGUUGGGUGUUUGUUCCGCCUCUGUGUGUGAACUCGCCUCAAAACAAUUGGCAGCCGGCGUACUUGUUUCGGAGCGAAGCACAUUUUGCGAUCCAGAUCAACGUACAGCGGCAUCCAAGAAGCCUUAUUUAACGCUCUUGACCUCGGAUCAGGUAGGGAUACCCGCUGAACUUAAGCAUAUCAAUAAGCGGAGGA
rnacentral:misc_RNA from 1 species